UACACGGUAAAAGGGUUGUGGGGGGUAU
rnacentral:sRNA from 1 species